CUACCUGGUGGAACUCGACUUCGGGAAGAAACGCUUCGUACAUUCUGCAUUCCAGGUCUGUUACCUGGUGAAACUCGACUUCCAGGAUGAGUACUCCGUGGUUGUUGCGCUCCAGGUCUGCUAUCUGGUGAAUUUCAACUCUCGGAGGACAAGGAAGACGCGGAGGACAAGGUGGACGAGGAGAACAAGGAUUUCUGCACAACAUAACCCGAGGUGGUUGGCAGUGGUCGUUGGAGAUGGUUGGUGGUGGAUGGAGGUGGUCGAGCUGGACGAGGAGGAGGACGAGGAAGUCGAGGAGAACAAUGUGGACGAGAAGGACGAGGAUUUGUGCUCAUUAAGAGCUGUACUCCACACAAUACAAGAAAUACUGGACAAAGGUGAUGAGAUGAUAGUAGUAUCACAAUGGACCAGUAUGCUGGAAGUUGUGAGGUCUCGUCUCAAAACCCUAAAUGGAGCAACUUAUGAUACCCUGUCUGGAAAAAUUCCCGUAAAAAAUCGGUAGCGCAUAGUGGAGUCGUUCAACACAAUAGACUCAGCACCGCAAAUUCUAUUACUAUCGCUUACUGCAGGCGGAGUAAGCUUAAAUUUGGUUGGCGGCAAUCACUUACUUUUGCCUGAUAUCCGUUGGGAUCCGUAAUUGGAAGCGCAAGCACAGGAUCGAAUUUACAGAGUUGGCCAAACUAAAAGCGUUUACAUUUACAAGAUUAGAGCACUGCAAAACAGAAAGCUAGAAAUAGCGAACGGAGGUUUGACAGGAGCAGGUACUGCAGGUGCCUCCAAGUUAUUGAUGAAUGAUCUCAAAUGUUUGUUCAGCUUGUGAAACUUUUAUUUUGCCAAACGCCUGCACUUUCUGACCUAACUUACGUAAUUUUACAAGAAGUCGAUCGACCCGUUACUUUUCGAUGUAUCUAUUCGCUAAAAACCAAAGUGUUUUGGUACGACUGAAGGAAAUACGCCCUAUUUUAUAAUAUAAGAAAUUCUACAUUAAUCUAUUUUAUAAGUGGAUAUAUUUAUGGAUGAAUUAGUUAUGAGUGUAUUCGAGAAAACUUUUAACAUACGUUAUUGUUUAAAAUCAUUCUUAAGCCUAGUUUUUUGAAGCAGUAAUUAAUUAUUGCAUUAUUACUAAG